ACUCCUACGGGAGGCAGCAGUAGGGAAUAUUGGACAAUGGGGGAAACCCUGAUCCAGCAAUGCCGCGUGAGUGAUGAAGGCCUUAGGGUUGUAAAGCUCUUUUACCCGGGAUGAUAAUGACAGUACCGGGAGAAUAAGCUCCGGCUAACUCCGUGCCAGCAGCCGCGGUAAUACGGAGGGAGCUAGCGUUGUUCGGAAUUACUGGGCGUAAAGCGCACGUAGGCGGCUAUUCAAGUCAGAGGUGAAAGCCCGGGGCUCAACCCCGGAACUGCCUUUGAAACUAGAUAGCUUGAAUCCAGGAGAGGUGAGUGGAAUUCCGAGUGUAGAGGUGAAAUUCGUAGAUAUUCGGAAGAACACCAGUGGCGAAGGCGGCUCACUGGACUGGUAUUGACGCUGAGGUGCGAAAGCGUGGGAGCAAACAGGAUUAGAUACCCUGGUAGCGACUGA
rnacentral:rRNA from 1 species